AGGUCAGAGGGGGCGGAGUGGUUGCCGGGCAACGGCGGGAGCGGCCCGGGGAGCCCGGAGGGGAACCUGGACCGGGAUCCUCCCGGGACACCCCCGCUCCUGGGCUGGACAGGGACAACCCCCCCGGGGACCCCUCUCGCUACGGGGCUGGGCCAGGACACUCCCCCCGGGACCCCCACACCAGCUUCUGGGCUGGGCCACCCCGUUUCCCCCGCUCCAGGAAGGGACGUCCCUGUUCCCAGGUUCCAGUUCCCGUUGGCUGCAGGGAUCAGUGCGGCCCCGAGGGCGCCUCAGCCCAGCCCCGCGGGUAAAGCAGGUGCUGUGAGGGGCCCACCAUGGAAUACACAUCCCAAGGGCCCGGGAUUCCAUCCACACCUGAUGAGGCACCAGUUCCAGCAGGCAGGGCAGGCCCAGCAGUAAUGGACCAGCUUUUGCUCUUGUGCUGGGCUGCACAGCCCCGGCAGAACAAGAGGACAGAGCAACAGGAAAGCACCCACAUGAGUGAGAACAGAACAAAAUGUUUGCAGAACAAAAUGCAAACAACCCAUAUAAACCCAUUUCUAUUUCACCAACACUGUCCUUGUGGUGUAAAUAGCGAGCAAGUGCCAGGUCUGACCUCCUGGAAGCCCUCGGUGACACCCUGGGACAGGAAAGGUGGCUGAUGUGAUGGGCUCUGAGUUUUCCCUGCUGAUUCCUUGGAGCCUGAACACAACAGUAGGAGCAAACUGGCCAUACAAGCCCCUGUCAACUUGUUUUUCAGAUAAAAUCUCUCUUCAUUU